GGCUCAACCCGGGGGGCUGCCGUAGAUACUGUAUAGCUGGGAUACGGAUGCCGUGGGAGGAAUGUGUGGUGUAGCGGUGAAAUGCAUAGAUAUCACACAGAACACCGAUUGCGAAGGCAUCUCACGAAGCCGUAAUCGACGCUGAGGCACGAAAGUGUGGGGAUCGAACAGGAUUAGAUACCCUGGUAGUCCACACUGUAAACGAUGAUGACUAGCCGUCGGGCAGUAAUGCCCGGUGGCCAAGGGAAACCGAUAAGUCAUCCACCUGGGGAGUACGGCCGCAAGGCUGAAACUCAAAGGAAUUGACGGGGGCCCGCACAAGCGGAGGAACAUGUGGUUUAAUUCGAUGAUACGCGAGGAACCUUACCCGGGCUCGAACGGCAGCUGGAUAUGGCAGAGAUGCCAUAGUCUACGGACAGCUGUCGAGGUGCUGCAUGGUUGUCGUCAGCUCGUGCCGUGAGGUGUCGGCUUAAGUGCCAUAACGAGCGCAACCCUUGCCUUCAGUUGCCAGCGGGUAAAGCCGGGGACUCUGGAGGGACUGCCACCGCAAGGUGAGAGGAAGGGGGGGAUGACGUCAAAUCAGCACGGCCCUUACGUCCGGGGCGACACACGUGUUACAAUGGUGGGAGACAGAGGGGACCGACAUGGUGACAUGAAGGGAAUCCCGAAAGCCCAUCUCAGUUCGGACUGGAGUCUGCAACUCGACUCCACGAAGCUGGAUUCGCUNNNNNNNNNNNNUCAGCCAUGGCGCGGUGAAUACGUUCCCGGGCCUUGUACACACCGCCCGUCAAGCCAUGGGAGUCGGGAGUGCCUGUUGUAAGGGACCGGAAGGAGCGGCCUAGGGCAAGACCG
rnacentral:rRNA from 1 species